rfam:Triticum aestivum genome assembly, contig: Triticum_aestivum_CS42_TGACv1_scaffold_278121_3DS
CAAAUACUCCCUCCGUCCGAAAAUACUUGUCAUCAAAAUGGAUAAAAGGAAAUGUAUCUAGACGUAUUUUAGUUUUAGAUACAUCUCUUUUUAUCCAUUUUGAUGACAAGUAUUUUCGGACGGAGGGAGUAGAAA